CUUAAUACGAACUGUAUUCCCCACUCAUUUUUUGAACUGUUCCUACCUAAACACUGUUAGUUACUUUUAUGGUUAGGCACAUUUAACUCUCCAAUACGUUAUAAGUUAUAAUACAGUUUCCAAACGUUAACAGAACCACGUAUAGUAUCGAAGAGUUAAAUUAAACUUACGUUCCAGCUGAUCAGCCUGUCACAAAUGUCACACAGAGUUCAUCCACGAAACUUGUCACAUCACAGUUACGAUCACAAGAAGCGCCAACGUCAGAACAAAGACGUCCUCUUUCGAAACUGUAGAUCCGCGCGGUUCGAUGCGUUUAAAGCGAUUCCACGGGACUUUUACUUUUAUUUAUCACGGACGAGUCUAUACACGAGACUGGACUAUCGGUUCGUACACCUGGAUGACACCUGGAAAACUUGUUCCUCCGAAGAAAGCCACCGUCGAUCUCUCAGGGUACCUUUUGUGCUCACCUCGAACAUAAAACUUAUGUGGAUCUUGUGUGCACACGCCACGGUGUAACACACGAAACUGCCGGCUUAAAGGAACUCUCUGUGCCGUAGAAAGAAGGUGGUGGAGGAAAAGAGGAAGACGUUUGAAGGCACAACAGAGAAGGAGAAACAGCCCAUUCCCUCCGUGUGUUCCGCGUGGUCGUGUUUGUGUGUGUCGAUACGUGCGUAUACGUACGAAUGUAUAUGUUAUGUGUGUGAACGUUUGAGCAUUCAGCUGACGAUGCACAAAUGUUAGUGCAUGAGAAAAUAUGUAUUUUUUGGAAAAUUUGUUAUAUUACGAAGAAAUCAAAGAUAUUAAGUUCCCACGUUAAACUAGAGGGCACUGCUUUUGGGUCCGUUUCGAAAGCGUGAUGGAAUUAGAAACGUCUCGAAAGAGUCUAUAUGGGAUUGCUAGUAUGCCACGCACGUUCGAGGUUAUGUAUAGACGAUCACGAUUAUUGGUCCUCUUAGGAAAUACAUACUACGAUUAUGAUCUAUCCAUAUAUAAAACUUAUCUGUCGAACAUUAUGACUCAUUUUCUUUCAAAUCAUGGAAGCAUAUGCAAUCAUAUUUUACCGAAAUAGUUUGCCAAAAUUAUUAUUAAAAUAUACAAUUUUAUUUU